rnacentral:rRNA from 1 species
GACGAACGCUGGCGGCGUGCUUAACACAUGCAAGUCGAACGAUGAAGCCUAGCUUGCUAGGUGGAUUAGUGGCGAACGGGUGAGUAAUACGUGAGUAACCUACCUUUAACUCUGGGAUAAGCCCGGGAAACUGGGUCUAAUACCGGAUACGACCAAUCUCCGCAUGGGGUGUUGGUGGAAAGCGUUAUGUAGUGGUUAUAGAUGGGCUCACGGCCUAUCAGCUUGUUGGUGAGGUAACGGCUCACCAAGGCGACGACGGGUAGCCGGCCUGAGAGGGUGACCGGCCACACUGGGACUGAGACACGGCCCAGACUCCUACGGGAGGCAGCAGUGGGGAAUAUUGCACAAUGGGCGCAAGCCUGAUGCAGCGACGCCGCGUGAGGGAUGACGGCCUUCGGGUUGUAAACCUCUGUUAGCAGGGAAGAAGAGAGAUUGACGGUACCUGCAGAGAAAGCGCCGGCUAACUACGUGCCAGCAGCCGCGGUAAUACGUAGGGCGCGAGCGUUGUCCGGAAUUAUUGGGCGUAAAGAGCUUGUAGGCGGUUUGUCGCGUCUGCUGUGAAAGGCCGGAGCUUAACUCCGUGUAUUGCAGUGGGUACGGGCAGACUAGAGUGCAGUAGGGGAGACUGGAAUUCCUGGUGUAGCGGUGGAAUGCGCAGAUAUCAGGAGGAACACCGAUGGCGAAGGCAGGGUCUCUGGGCUGUAACUGACGCUGAGAAGCGAAAGCAUGGGGAGCGAACAGG